rnacentral:tRNA from 1 species
GGCGGCGUAGCCAAGUGGUAAGGCGGAGGUCUGCAAAACCUCGAUACCCCGGUUCGAAUCCGGGCGCCGCCUCCA